AAUUGAUUUCAGCAUCUUCUCAUGCAUUAAUUUAAUCAGCUUUGGAAAGAACCAAGGCCUUAUCGUAUUCAAGUAGGAAAAACCUAAAAAUGCUGCUUCCAUCAUACCUAUGAAGAAAGUGAAUAAGCUUCCUGUUACUACUGGACGCUGGAAGUUUCCCUGCACCCGC
rnacentral:lncRNA from 1 species